rfam:Dechlorosoma suillum PS, complete genome.
GAAGCUGGCCAGGCAGCCGCUGGGUAUUCGUACCGAGAGGAAAGUCCGGGCUCCAUAGAGCGGGAUGCUGGCUAACGGCCAGGCGCUAUAAGCCGCAAGGCGAAGGCGACGGAAAGUGCAACAGAGAGCAGACCGCCGAUGGCUCCGGUGCAAACCGGGGAUCAGGCAAGGGUGAAACGGUGGCCGGACCUCAGGUCCGGACGGGCUGGUGCAAGCCGGUUCGGGGUAAGAGCCCACCGCGGCUGUGGCGACACAGACGGCACGGUAAACCCCAUUCGGAGCAAGGCCAAAUAGGGGAGCAUCAGGCGUGGCUCGCGCUGCUCCCGGGUAGGCUGCUUGAGCGCCGUGGUAACACGGCGCCUAGAGGAAUGGCUGCCAGGCGGCGGAGGUUCGCCUCCAACGCCCAACAGAACCCGGCUUAUCGGCCAGCUUCACAU